rnacentral:lncRNA from 1 species
UUCUGUUUGGGACUUUGCUAUCAUGUCAUAGCAUAGCAUUCGAUUCCACGAUGAAUCAUCUCAUGAAACAAAGUCACCAUAGCUUUCUGAUACAGGCACUGGCGUUCUGCUUCUUUAGAGGACGGUCUUCUCUCCAUGGUAGCUUGUGUACAACGACAUCGGUGUUCAACCCUGGCAUAUUCUGACAUGACCAGGCGAAAGUAUCCACA